GGCUUGAUGGCGUAAUGGUAACGCACUCCGUAAAUAUGCACAUUAUUGAUUGGCGGAAAGUCUGGAGUUCAAUUCUCCGUCAAGCCG